rnacentral:rRNA from 1 species
GUGAGGAAUUUUCCGCAAUGGGCGAAAGCCUGACGGAGCAAUGCCGCGUGAAGGAUGAAGGCCUAUGGGUUGUAAACUUCUUUUCUCAGAAAAGAAUUAUGACGGUAUCUGAGGAAUAAGCAUCGGCUAACUCUGUGCCAGCAGCCGCGGUAAGACAGAGGAUGCAAGCGUUAUCCGGAAUGAUUGGGCGUAAAGCGUCUGUAGGUUGUUUAAAAAGUAUUCUGUCAAAGAUUAGGGCUUAACCCUAGAUAGGCAGAAUAAACUUUUAAGCUAGAGUUUGGUAGAGGCAGAGGGAAUUCUCGGUGGAGCGGUGAAAUGCGUAGAUAUCGGGAGGAACACCAAAGGCGAAGGCACUCUGCUGGGCCAAUACUAACACUGAGAGACGAAAGCGAGGGGAGCAAAUGGGAUUAGAAACCCUGGUAGUCC